rnacentral:rRNA from 1 species
GAGUUUGAUCAUGGCUCAGGAUGAACGCUGGCGGCGUGCUUAACACAUGCAAGUCGAACGGGGCUCAUUGGAACAAGUCUUCGGACAAGGGAAUUUGAGCUUAGUGGCGGACGGGUGAGUAACGCGUGAGCAACCUGCCUUCGAGUGGGGGACAACAGUUGGAAACGACUGCUAAUACCGCAUAACAUAUCGUACCGGCAUCGGUGUGAUAUCAAAGGAGCAAUCCGCUUGAAGAUGGGCUCGCGUCUGAUUAGGUAGUUGGUGAGGUAACGGCCCACCAAGCCUGCGAUCAGUAGCCGGGUUGAGAGAUCGAUCGGCCACAUUGGGACUGAGAUACGGCCCAGACUCCUACGGGAGGCAGCAGUGGGGAAUAUUGGGCAAUGGGCGAAAGCCUGACCCAGCAACGCCGCGUGAGGGAAGAAGGCUUUCGGGUUGUAAACCUCUUUGACAGGGGAAGAUAAUGACGGUACCCUGAAAACAAGCUCCGGCUAACUACGUGCCAGCAGCCGCGGUGAUACGUAGGGAGCAAGCGUUAUCCGGAAUUACUGGGUGUAAAGGGCGCGUAGGCGGGAUUGCAAGUCAGAUGUGAAAUACCGGGGCUUAACUCCGGGGCUGCAUUUGAAACUGUAGUUCUUGAGUGAUGGAGAGGCAGACGGAAUUCCCGGUGUAGCGGUGGAAUGCGUAGAUAUCGGGAGGAACACCAGUGGCGAAGGCGGUCUGCUGGACAUUAACUGACGCUGAGGCGCGAAAGCGUGGGGAGCAAACAGGAUUAGAUACCCUGGUAGUCCACGCUGUAAACGAUGGAUACUAGGUGUGCGGGGACUGACCCUCUGCGUGCCGCAGUAAACACAAUAAGUAUCCCACCUGGGGAGUACGGUCGCAAGACUGAAACUCAAAGGAAUUGACGGGGCCCCGCACAAGCAGUGGAUUAUGUGGAUUAAUUCGUCGCAACGCGAAGAACCUUACCAGGGCUUGACAUCCUGCUAACGAAGUAGAAAUACAUUAGGUGCCCUUCGGGGAAAGCAGAGACAGGUAGUGCAUGGUUGUCGUCAGCUCGUGUCGUGAGAUGUUGGGUUAAGUCCCGCAACGAGCGCAACCCUUAUUGCCAGUUGCUACGAAAGAGCACUCUGGCGAGACUGCCGUUGAUAAAACGGAGGAAGGUGGGGACGAUGUCAAAUCAUCAUGCUCCUUACGUUCUGGGCUUCACACGUAAUACAAUGGUGGUAUAACAGAGGGGUGCAAAGCCGCGAGGCAGAGCAAAUCCCUAAAAGCCAUCCCAGUUCGGAUUGCAGGCUGCAACCCGCCUGCAUGAAGUUGGAAUUGCUAGUAAUCGCGGAUCAGAAUGCCGCGGUGAAUACGUUCCCGGGGCUUGUACACACCGCCCGUCACACCAUGAGAGUCGGGAACACCCGAAGUCAGUAGUCUAACCGAAAGGGGGACGCUGCCGAAGGUGGGUUCGAUAAUUGGGGUGAAGUCGUAACAAGGUA